AUACCAGCUCUUCAAGUGGUCGGGAUAAUUAUUGGGCUUAAAGUGUCCGUAGCCGGUUUAGUAAGUUCCUGGUAAAAUCGAGUAGCUUAACUAUUCGUAUGCUAGGAAUACUGCUAUACUAGAGGGCGGGAGAGGUCUGAGGUACUACAGGGGUAGGGGUGAAAUCUUAUAAUCCUUGUAGGACCACCAGUGGCGAAGGCGUCAGACUGGAACGCGCCUGACGGUGAGGGACGAAAGCCAGGGGAGCGAACCGGAUUAGAUACCCGUGUAGUCC
rnacentral:rRNA from 1 species